rnacentral:lncRNA from 1 species
AAAUCUUAUACCAAAGCACGAGCCAAGUCCUUAACUACCAUCGCUUCCCAUGGAUAUCCACCAUAUAUGGAACUAAAAUAUAAUCAAAACUUCAGCAUUGUCACUUUCUACCUCCCCAAUCACUCUCUCCUUUGGUUGUCAUCUCUGCCACAAGAUGAAGUUCGUUCAUCGUGGCCGCCAUUGGACUUACAACAAGAGAGAUUUAAAAGAGCAACAAUCAAGGAAUGCCCACCAACAACAUGGUCUCAAACCUAAUCAUAACCUCCCUAACAACGAAGGCAACGAGAAGAUGUGUUUGCUGAGGAAUACAAAGUUGAACAAUGCGCCAUGCAUCCACCUCGGCAGCGUCAUCAUAAAAUAAAACGACGUUAGUGGUGAUGUCAAUUGGACAAGGGAGAAACCACGCGUUGAGGACUGUAUUUGCUGGGUUAGGAUUUUCAUUUGGCACUCAUAGCGACACUAACAAUAAUUUACUUUUUGAAAAAUACUAAUUAGUAGUGUUGGCUUGUCUAUUGGUAAUAUUUUUUUUAAGGACUUAAUAAUGUGGGUUUGACAUCAACU